rnacentral:tRNA from 1 species
GGGGAUGUAGCUCAGCUGGUUAGAGUGCUUGCCUGGCAGGCAAGAAGUCGUGGGUUCGAGUCCCAUCUUCUCCA